rnacentral:rRNA from 1 species
UACAGAGGGGGCAAGCGUUGUUCGGAAUUACUGGGCGUAAAGGGCGCGUAGGUGGCCCGCUAAGUCGAACGUGAAAUCCCCGAGCUCAACUCGGGAACUGCGUCCGAUACUGGCGGGCUUGAAUCCGGGAGAGGGAUGCGGAAUUCCAGGUGUAGCGGUGAAAUGCGUAGAUAUCUGGAGGAACACCGGUGGCGAAGGCGGCAUCCUGGACCGGCAUUGACGCUGAGGCGCGAAAGCGUGGGGAGCGAACAGG